rnacentral:tRNA from 1 species
ACUAUUUUGGCAGAUUAGUGCAUUUGAUUUAGAAUCUUAAAAUGUUUUAGAACAGAUAGUA